rnacentral:rRNA from 1 species
UUCCGGUUGAUCCCGCCGGACCCGACUGCUAUUUGGGUGAGGAUAAGCCAUGCGAGUUGAAUGGGAAACCUAAAAAUCCCAUGGCAAACUGCUCAGUAACACAUGAUCAACUUACCCUAUAGAGGAAAAUAACCUCGGGAAACUGAGGAUAAUGUUCCAUAGUUGAAUCGGCUUGGAAAAGUUUUUCAAUAAAAGGGAUAAGGAAAAUGGUCCUUAUCUGCUAUAGGAUAGGAUCGUGCUCGAUUAUGGUUGUUGGUGAGGUAAAGGCUCACCAAGCCGAUAAUCGAUAGGGGCCGUGAGAGCGGGAGCCCCGAGAUGGGUACUGAGACAACGACCCAGGCCUUACGAGGCGCAGCAGGCGCGAAACCUCCGCAAUACACGAAAGUGUGACGGGGUUACCCAAAGUGUUCAUUAGAACUGUGGUAGGUGAGUAAUGUUCCCUACUAGAAAGGAGAGGGCAAGGCUGGUGCCAGCCGCCGCGGUAAAACCAGCUCUUCAAGUGGUCGGGAUAAUUAUUGGGCUUAAAGUGUCCGUAGCCGGUUUAGUAAGUUCCUGGUAAAAUCGGGUAGCUUAACUAUCUAUAUGCUAGGAAUACUGCUAUACUAGAGGGCGGGAGAGGUCUGAGGUACUACAGGGGUAGGGGUGAAAUCUUAUAAUCCUUGUAGGACCACCAGUGGCGAAGGCGUCAGACUGGAACGCGCCUGACGGUGAGGGACGAAAGCCAGGGGAGCGAACCGGAUUAGAUACCCGGGUAGUCCUGGCCGUAAACGAUGCAUACUAGGUGAUGGUGUGGCCAUGAGCCGUAUCAGUGCCGUAGGGAAACCGUUAAGUGUGCCGCCUGGGAAGUACGGUCGCAAGGCUAAAACUUAAAGGAAUUGGCGGGGGAGCACCACAAGGGGUGAAGCCUGCGGUUCAAUUGGAUUCAACGCCGGA